rnacentral:rRNA from 1 species
AGAGUUUGAUCCUGGCUCAGGAUGAACGCUAGCUACAGGCUUAACACAUGCAAGUCGAGGGGCAGCAUCAUCAAAGCUUGCUUUGAUGGAUGGCGACCGGCGCACGGGUGAGUAACACGUAUCCAACCUGCCGACAACACUGGGAUAGCCUUUCGAAAGAAAGAUUAAUACCGGAUGGCAUAGUUUUCCCGCAUGGGAUAAUUAUUAAAGAAUUUCGGUUGUCGAUGGGGAUGCGUUCCAUUAGGCAGUUGGCGGGGUAACGGCCCACCAAACCAACGAUGGAUAGGGGUUCUGAGAGGAAGGUCCCCCACAUUGGAACUGAGACACGGUCCAAACUCCUACGGGAGGCAGCAGUGAGGAAUAUUGGUCAAUGGACGAGAGUCUGAACCAGCCAAGUAGCGUGAAGGAUGACUGCCCUAUGGGUUGUAAACUUCUUUUAUACGGGAAUAAAGUUAGCCACGUGUGGCUUUUUGUAUGUACCGUAUGAAUAAGGAUCGGCUAACUCCGUGCCAGCAGCCGCGGUAAUACGGAGGAUCCGAGCGUUAUCCGGAUUUAUUGGGUUUAAAGGGAGCGUAGGCGGGUUGUUAAGUCAGUUGUGAAAGUUUGCGGCUCAACCGUAAAAUUGCAGUUGAUACUGGCGACCUUGAGUGCAACAGAGGUAGGCGGAAUUCGUGGUGUAGCGGUGAAAUGCUUAGAUAUCACGAAGAACUCCGAUUGCGAAGGCAGCUUACUGGAUUGUAACUGACGCUGAUGCUCGAAAGUGUGGGUAUCAAACAGGAUUAGAUACCCUGGUAGUCCACACAGUAAACGAUGAAUACUCGCUGUUUGCGAUAUACAGUAAGCGGCCAAGCGAAAGCAUUAAGUAUUCCACCUGGGGAGUACGCCGGCAACGGUGAAACUCAAAGGAAUUGACGGGGGCCCGCACAAGUGGAGGAACAUGUGGUUUAAUUCGAUGAUACGCGAGGAACCUUACCCGGGCUUAAAUUGCAACAGAAUAUAUUGGAAACAGUAUAGCCGUAAGGCUGUUGUGAAGGUGCUGCAUGGUUGUCGUCAGCUCGUGCCGUGAGGUGUCGGCUUAAGUGCCAUAACGAGCGCAACCCUUAUCUUUAGUUACUAACAGGUCAUGCUGAGGACUCUAGAGAGACUGCCGUCGUAAGAUGUGAGGAAGGUGGGGAUGACGUCAAAUCAGCACGGCCCUUACGUCCGGGGCUACACACGUGUUACAAUGGGGGGUACAGAAGGCGGCUACCUGGUGACAGGAUGCUAAUCCCAAAAGCCGGUCGUAGUUCGGAUUGGAGUCUGUAACCCGACUCCAUGAAGUUGGAUUCGCUAGUAAUCGCGCAUCAGCCAUGGCGCGGUGAAUACGUUCCCGGGCCUUGCACACACCGCCCGUCAAG